UACGUAGGGGGCUAGCGUUGUCCGGAUUUAUUGGGCGUAAAGAGCGUGUAGGCGGCCAGGUAGGUCUGGUGUGAAAACUCGAGGCUUAACCUCGAGAUGUCAUCGGAAACCAUCUGGCUAGAGUCCGGAAGAGGAGAGUGGAAUUCCUGGUGUAGCGGUGAAAUGCGCAGAUAUCAGGAAGAACACCAAUGGCGAAAGCAGCUCUCUGGGACGGUACUGACUCUGAGACGCGAAAGCGUGGGGAGCGAACAGG
rnacentral:rRNA from 1 species